GGCCAUGCUCGGACAGCAGGUCGCCGUUCUGGGCCUAGGGGAAGGGGUCGCGCCCCAUCUACCCGCCCGCUCCAGAAAAAAAAAGUUGCCGUGAACCACGCACAUUAAACUAUCCUGCUUCCCUGCCGUCCCCCUCCCCCAUAAUAAUAAGUAGGCGCGGGCGGCGCCGGGAACUGCAGAAAGAAGGACGCAGCGCGAUGACGACGGCGUCCGUUUAACGGACAGCUAAAGAGGAAGGGGUUGGAGGGGGAUCCACGUGGAGUUCGGCCACGAGUGCACAAGAUGUCAAUGCAGCCAUGGAGAUGGGUAUCCACCAACGGUUUGCAUACACAUUGCCUCAAUGUGUUUGUCCCGAGCAGGGGGACGUUUGUGAAUGCAUUGCACAACGUGCAAGUAACAGUCUUCAUCUCACCAAAGGGCAGAGGCAGGAGGUCUGCUUUAGUUAGCAAAAACCCAGUUCAGGCAAAAAUGCCAUUAUCUGUAAUGAUGAUUUUCUCAGAAAAGCAGCGAUAGAUCAGACUUGAAAUAAGUGUUUCUCCUUGCUCACUCUUUCUUAUCCCAAAUGGGGGAAAUUGACAGA